rnacentral:rRNA from 1 species
UACGUAGGGCGCGAGCGUUUGUCCGGAUUUAUUGGGCGUAAAGAGCUCGUAGGCGGCUUGUCGCGUCGGCUGUGAAAACCCGCGGCUCAACUGUGGGCGGGCAGCUGAUACGGGCAGGCUGGAGUUCGGUAGGGGGAGACUGGAAUUCCUGGUGUAGCGGUGAAAUGCGCAGAUAUCAGGAGGAACACCCGUAGCGAAAGGCGGCACUCUGGGCCGGAAACUGACGCUGAGGAGCGAAAAGCGUGGGGAGCGAAACAGG